rnacentral:rRNA from 1 species
UACGUAGGCAGCAAGCGUUGUUCGGAAUUACUGGGCGUAAAGAGUGUGUAGGCGGUGCUCCAAGUCUGUUGUGAAAUCUCCCGGCUCAACUGGGAGGGUGCGGCGGAAACUGGAAUGCUAGAGGAUGGGAGAGGUAAGCGGAAUUCCUGGUGUAGCGGUGAAAUGCGUAGAUAUCAGGAGGAACACCUGUGGUGUAGACAGCUUACUGGACCAUUUCUGACGCUGAGACACGAAAGCGUGGGUAGCAAACAGG